rnacentral:rRNA from 1 species
UACGUAGGCAGCGAGCGUUGUUCGGAGUUACUGGGCGUAAAGGGUGUGUAGGCGGUUCUUUAAGUUUAGUGUGAAAUCUCCCGGCUCAACCGGGAGGGUGCGCUGAAUACUGAGGGACUAGAGUACGGGAGAGGAAAGCGGAAUUCCUGGUGUAGCGGUGAAAUGCGUAGAUAUCAGGAGGAACACCGGUGGUGUAGACGGCUUUCUGGACCGUAACUGACGCUGAGACACGAAAGCGUGGGUAGCAAACAGG